UACGUAGGUGGCGAGCGUUGUCCGGAUUUAUUGGGUUUAAAGGGUGCGUAGGCGGUCCUAUAAGUCAGUGGUGAAAUAUCGCAGCUCAACUGUGAGGGUGCCAUUGAUACUGUAGGACUUGAGUGAAUUUGAGGUAGGCGGAAUUGACGGUGUAGCGGUGAAAUGCUUAGAUAUCGGGAAGAACACCUGUGGCGAAGGCGGCUCUCUGGGACGGUACUGACGCUGAGACGCGAAAGCGUGGGGAGCGAACAGG
rnacentral:rRNA from 1 species